GCUGAGGCAGGAAGGAAGCGUGGAUAGCAGAGGGCUCCCUAAGUCAUGUUGCAGCAUUUUAUCUUGAACAAGAGACAAUUUGGGAACAUCCCAAGAAAGGAGCUCUGAGAUCCAGGGUAUGGAAGAUUUCCUCAUCUAUGAGAGACAUGACAGCGUUGGUCUCCCUGGAUUACUCAGAUGAUUCCACAGAGGCAGAGGACACGCUCCAUCCAGGAGCUGCAGGAAAAUGUUUCUACCAGAAGAACCCAGUCCUAGCAUGUAGGGCCUUGAGGAAGAUUCUCUUCCUCUGAGCCUGCAACUCAGCCCCCUCACUCGGGAUUCCAGGGUCACUGAUGUCUUCAACACCAUGGGGGCCUGCAGCGCCACAGGGACACAGUCUUGCUGGGCACUCACUCAGGGCCGGGUUUACCAGGGCUCCCUUUCUGGCUGCUCAGAGCCAAUUCACUGCUCUACUAAAUCAACCU